rnacentral:rRNA from 1 species
CUAAGAAUAUUCCGCAAUGGACGGAAGUCUGACGGAGCGACGCCGCGUGGAUGACGAAGGCCGAAAGGUUGUAAAGUUCUUUUGCUGGGGAAGAAUAACCGCAGGAGGGAAUGCCUGUGGGAUGACAAGAACCGGCGAAUAAGCCCCGGCCAACUACGUGCCAGCAGCCGCGGUAACACGUAGGGGGCGAGCGUUGUUCGGAAUUACUGGGCGUAAAGGGCAUGUAGGCGGCUUGGAAAGCCUGGCGUGAAAGUCUGCAGCUUAACUGCAGGGGUGCGCUGGGAACUGCUGAGCUUGAGUGACGGAGAGGGAGCUGGAAUUCCUGGUGUAGGGGUGAAAUCUGUAGAUAUCAGGAAGAACACCGAUGGCGAAGGCAAGCUCCUGGCCGAUGACUGACGCUGAGGUGCGAAAGUGUGGGGAUCAAACAGGAUUAGAUACCCUGGUAGUCCACACAGUCAACGAUGUGCACUAGGUGCUGGGGCGGUAGCUUCGGUGCCGGAGCGAACGUGGUAAGUGCACCGCCUGGGGAGUAUGCUCGCAAGGGUGAAACUUAAAUGAAUUGAC